AUUGAACGCUGGCGGCAGGCCUAACACAUGCAAGUCGAACGGUAACAGGAAACAGCUUGCUGUUUCGCUGACGAGUGGCGGACGGGUGAGUAAUGUCUGGGGAACUGCCUGAUGGAGGGGGAUAACUACUGGAAACGGUAGCUAAUACCGCAUAACGUCGCAAGACCAAAGAGGGGGACCUUCGGGCCUCUUGCCAUCGGAUGUGCCCAGAUGGGAUUAGCUAGUAGGUGGGGUAACGGCUCACCUAGGCGACGAUCCCCAGCUGGUCUGAGAGGAUGACCAGCCACACUGGAACUGAGACACGGUCCAGACUCCUACGGGAGGCAGCAGUGGGGAAUAUUGCACAAUGGGCGCAAGCCUGAUGCAGCCAUGCCGCGUGUAUGAAGAAGGCCUUCGGGUUGUAAAGUACUUUCAGCGGGGAUGAAGGGAGUAAAGUUAAUACCUUUGCUCAUUGACGUUACCCGCAGAAGAAGCACCGGCUAACUCCGUG
rnacentral:rRNA from 1 species